rnacentral:rRNA from 1 species
AUCUCUUACCAUGUCUUUUGAGUACUUACGUUUCCUCGGUGGGUUCGCCCGCCGAUUGGACAAUUUAAACCCUUUGCAGUUGCAAUCAGCGUCUGAAAAACAUAAUAGUUACAACUUUCAACAACGGAUCUCUUGGUUCUGGCAUCGAUGAAGAACGCAGCGAAAUGCGAUAAGUAGUGUGAAUUGCAGAAUUCAGUGAAUCAUCGAAUCUUUGAACGCACAUUGCGCCCCUUGGUAUUCCAUGGGGCAUGCCUGUUCGAGCGUCAUUUGUACCUUCAAGCUUUGCUUGGUGUUGGGUGUUUGUCUCGCCUCUGCGUGUAGACUCGCCUUAAAACAAUUGGCAGCCGGCGUAUUGAUUUCGGAGCGCAGUACAUCUCGCGCUUUGCACUCAUAACGACGACGUCCAAAAGUACAUUUUUACACUCUUGACCUCGGAUCAGGUAGGGAUACCCGCUGAACUUAAGCAUAUAUAA